AGAGUUUGAUCCUGGCUCAGAUUGAGCGCUGGCGGCAUGCCUUACACAUGCAAGUCGAACGGUAACAGGUCUUCGGAUGCUGACGAGUGGCGAACGGGUGAGUAAUACAUCGGAACGUGCCCGAUCGUGGGGGAUAACGAGGCGAAAGCUUUGCUAAUACCGCAUACGAUCUACGGAUGAAAGCGGGGGAUCUUCGGACCUCGCGCGGACGGAGCGGCCGAUGGCAGAUUAGGUAGUUGGUGGGAUAAAAGCUUACCAAGCCGACGAUCUGUAGCUGGUCUGAGAGGAUGAUCAGCCACACUGGGACUGAGACACGGCCCAGACUCCUACGGGAGGCAGCAGUGGGGAAUUUUGGACAAUGGGCGAAAGCCUGAUCCAGCCAUGCCGCGUGCAGGAUGAAGGCCUUUGGGUUGUAAACUGCUUUUGUACGGAACGAAAA
rnacentral:rRNA from 1 species